GCCGAGCUAGCCUAGGCGGUCAUGGCGUCGCUCUGAAGAAGCGAAGAUUGAGGUUCGAUUCCUCAGCUCGGCA
rnacentral:tRNA from 1 species